GGUAAUACGGAGGGUGCAAGCGUUGUUCGGAUUUACUGGGCGUAAAGGACGUGCAGGCGGUUUGGUAAGUCAGAUGUGAAAGCCCCGGGCUUAACCCGGGAAGUGCAUUUGAAACUGCCUUUCUUGAGUAUGGGAGAGGAGAGUGGAAUUCCCAGUGUAGAGGUGAAAUUCGUAGAUAUUGGGAGGAACACCGGUGGCGAAGGCGACUCUCUGGACCAAUACUGACGCUGAGACGCGAAAGCGUGGGGAGCAAACAGGAUUAGAUACCCCGGUAGUCCAAGC
rnacentral:rRNA from 1 species